rnacentral:rRNA from 1 species
CAGGAUGAAGGCCUUCGGGUCGUAAACUGCUUUUCUCUGUGACGAUUAUGACGGUAGCAGAAGAAUAAGGAUCGGCUAACUCCGUGC